UUGUAGUGACUGAUGUUGAUUUAGUGGAUAAACAUUGAACAUCUCACCACAUACCUGCAUACCAGCCUGUAUUAGUGAGUCCUUCUGCCUGAGACAAAUGACCCCUUGGCUAACCUCUGUUGGGUGAGGGAUUCCUCCCCCUGCAACCUAGAAUGCUCUGCAAUAUGCCCAAGAUUCAUGUCACAACAUGCAGUUACUCCUAAGCUUUUCUCUCUCUAACAUGUACUCUGCACAGACGGCCUGGAGCUUGUUGAUUUCUGUAGCCUCCGGCCGGUCAUGAAAAGCUUCCGACAGUGGCCUUUGUUUUGCUUUUUUUGUAGAAUGACGCAUCCAUUUCCAGGCUUGCAAGGGCUGUUUCCUUUUUCAAAGAACAGCUCGCGGACCAAGCCUAAAUCCAUCUGUGCUGAAAGCUCUGCUCAGAGUGUUAAAUCAAGCCAGACAUACCAUCGCGUUAGCCUAGCUUUCUCUUGGACUGUCAAGCCUCUCUUGAUAACUCUCCUAAGAAAAAUCAGAGCAUCUGGGGUACAGCACGGAUACUUGCCAUGCUGAGGAGAUGGAGAAGAAUUCUGGAUUUCUGCAACUUGUGGUCUUGAAUUUCAUGCCACCAAGUUUUGCUGGCAUUCAUUAACCAGAAGACCAAUUACUGCAGGACCUGACAUCGAAGGCAGAAAGUGACGGUGCCAGCCACGGACACCCCAGUCUGGAAAACGGAUCUUCUUGGAUGCCAGUACUACUGAUGCCAUAUUCUGCCUGUGCAAAAUAGAGAGGAGAAAGGAAGUUGGAAGUGAGAGGUAUGCCUUCAAGUCUUCAAAAUCUGGGUAAAUAUGCAUCCCAAUGAGUGGAAGAGAGUUCUCCCACCAGAAUACAAAUUAAUUAAAAAUCAAACUGGUUGUAGGAACCCUGCAGAGACAAAGUGCAGAGGUAAACAGUGUGCCUGCCAUCUACUUGCUGUUCUUAAUGUGAGCUGCCACAAGAUGAAGGUGUUCUAAGUAAGUUUCCAAAGCGGUGGGGGGGAAACAGGCUCCAGCCUUGCUCUCUGAGUUAAAAGAUAGAACAUUCCCUGGAUACCUUGCUGUAUUUU